rnacentral:rRNA from 1 species
UUAGAGUUUGAUCCUGGCUCAGGACGAACGCUGGCGGCGUGCCUAACACAUGCAAGUCGAACGGAAAUACAGAAAGCUUGCUUUUUGUAUUUUAGUGGCGGACGGGUGAGUAACGCGUGAGUAACCUGCCCAUUAGAGGGGGAUAACGUUUGGAAACAGACGCUAAUACCGCAUAAAAUCACAUGACCGCAUGGUCGAGUGAUCAAAGGAGCAAUCCGUUGAUGGAUGGACUCGCGUCCGAUUAGCCAGUUGGCGGGGUAAAGGCCCACCAAAGCAACGAUCGGUAGCCGGACUGAGAGGUUGAACGGCCACAUUGGGACUGAGACACGGCCCAGACUCCUACGGGAGGCAGCAGUGGGGGAUAUUGCACAAUGGGGGAAACCCUGAUGCAGCAACGCCGCGUGAGGGAAGAAGGUUUUCGGAUUGUAAACCUCUGUCCUUGGUGAAGAUAAUGACGGUAGCCAAGGAGGAAGCUCCGGCUAACUACGUGCCAGCAGCCGCGGUAAUACGUAGGGAGCGAGCGUUGUCCGGAAUUACUGGGUGUAAAGGGUGCGUAGGCGGCAAAUCAAGUCAGAUGUGAAAUACCGAGGCUUAACCUCGGAGCUGCAUUUGAAACUGAAUUGCUUGAGUGAAGUAGAGGCAAGCGGAAUUCCCGGUGUAGCGGUGAAAUGCGUAGAGAUCGGGAGGAACACCAGUGGCGAAGGCGGCUUGCUAGGCUUCAACUGACGCUGAGGCACGAAAGCGUGGGUAGCAAACAGGAUUAGAUACCCUGGUAGUCCACGCUGUAAACGAUGAUUACUAGGUGUGGGCGGAUAGACCGUCCGUGCCGGAGUUAACACAAUAAGUAAUCCACCUGGGGAGUACGACCGCAAGGUUGAAACUCAAAGGAAUUGACGG